UUAAGGAAAAAUAACUUUGUUUGAAGUCACUAAGAACAGUCAGUCUCAAAAACAACAAUUUACAUUUGGAAGAGGAAAAAAAAAAUAAGAUGAUUGAUUUUCCAGUGAUUAAAGUUGAAUAUUUGGAAGGAAAACUGAACAGAUUGAGUCUAUGAACUGUUAUGAAUGUAGUUUUUGUGAAAGUUUAUCAUUUAUUAUUACUGUGCAAUUACAAUCUCAUAUUUCUAUACCAACUACAAUUUAACAUCAGUGUAGAUGAAUUGCUAAUAUUUGGCUUCCUCUGAACAGAAAAUGCCAAACAGCUGAGCUGAAUUAUAUUAUCAAGCAAUGUACAAGUUUUUAGCUUUUCUGCCUAUAUUUGCAUCUUGGGAUGGUAUCUUGAAAGGGCACCCCCUUACUACUAUAUUUUUCCUAGAUAAACCUUUUAUUUAAAUUGAAGAUGUCUCUUCUUAACUUACAUAAUUAAGAGCAGUGAAGUCCUUUGGGUUCUUAGUAGAUGGAAUCUAAACACUGAAAUUCUCUCAUUCACACUACUGUAUAGAUCUUUAAUUUGAAGAGUACAAAAUCAUUUUUAUAUUUUCGGCUGUGGUUUCAGAUAAAUAUUCUGAUAUCUUAAAAAAAUGAGAGGAGAAAUUUACAUAUAGCCUCUGGAUUCUGGUGUAAAGUUUUGCACCCAUAGACCUACAUACUUCUUUGCACUGAUACAAUGGAUCUCUGCCCAAAUUCUAGUACUUUUUUUUCUUUCUUUUUUUUUUAGGGUUUCCCGUAGAUUUUAAUAGAAGCUUGUGCUAGGAAACAGGUCAAGAAGAAGGACUAGCCAUCAAACCAUAUUUUUAACAUAGCUACUGCAGUUCCCCACAGAGAACAUUUUUGUCAUUGUUCCUCAGACAUGAACUUGUUGGAUCUGACUGUGCUUUCAUCUUUCUAGUGCUAUCCAGAAGUAACUCGAGUGGAAGUACACAAAAUACAGGGAUGCGAGAGUGGUAUAAGGGAGAUUUAAAAUGGACUUGUGAAAGAAUUUCUCCUGCCUUGCCAUAUGGAUAUUGAUUUCUCUCCCUCAGGCAGAAUAUAAUUGCCUGCUCUAAUUUAGCAUUGAUCUACCCACCCAAGUUUCUUAAAGUACUACACAGGCCUCAAUUAAAUUAUUCCUAAUACCACCUUUGUGAAGUAGGAUAGCUGUAAUUACUCACACUUAGAAAAUGGUGAGAGGUAAAAAGCGAUUUGUCCAAACCAUGCAGUGCAACAAGACACGAUUAAAGCAGGAGGCAAACAUACUAUGCCAUGUGCUGUACAUCAAAUUACCCUGAGUUUUUCUAAUAGCAAAAUAUUUGUUCAUCCAAUAUUUUGUGAUUCCAAUGAACCACACUUGGUUAGAUACUAAGUGUACCAGGACUUCUGUUGUUCUUAUCAAUACAUCUAUUUUCUCCUUCAUGAGACCUCUAGAGAUCAUUGAGUCCAGCCCCCUGCAAAGCGGGCCCCCUACAAAGGAAUAACACCUCUUGCUGCUGAAUUCAACAAAUGUGGUCUCGCCACUAUUUUUAAGUGUCAUUUUAUUUAUUAGUUCAAGAGAAACCAGCCAGACUGAUACUGAGGAGAAACAAGUACAAAGUAUUUUGUAUACACACCCAAUAGAUCAGAAAAAAUGCAGGUUUUAGCAACUGAAGGAGCCCAACGCUAAGGCAACACAAGUUAGGUAAUACUUUGAAUCAGAUAAAAAUGAUAAAGUAGUGCUGAGUAUUUGGGUGACAAACUGAACUUAGUCAGGUCUUCUAUGCAACAUGUGACUUGAAUUCAAUGAGAAGAAACAAAUAGCUGUAGAACAAGUGAAGGCAAUGACAGAGCCUUUAUUUGAGAAAUAGGCACUAGAGGAAAAGAUAUCAGAAAGGAAUUGACUCACCCCUCCCGGUAACAGUGUGGAGAGAGGGACGAGCUGAGAAAUGCGACCCUCCCCGGGUCCUGUCGCGCCGCUGGAGAGAAGGGCAGGAGCAAAAGGGGGACCCGCACAGACUCAGACUGCACAGGAAGUAUUGCAGAGACAGAAGGGGUGGCUCCAGAACCCCCUCCCCCCCCCCCACUCCAGGCACCCACACACUCAUGUAGCCCACCCAUUGAUUCAGGCUGUGACUCUGGAAUUCCACUACAGUCGCCAACCAAACAAAGCCCAACCUAGCGCAGUAUUACCAGACUUGUAACCUAUGUAACUGUAGGUAACUACAGAUAAGUUCAAAUGUAAGAUAGAUAUGGCUUUUACAUGCUGAUUCUAGCUUUAUCUGAGAGAAAAAGAAAAUGAUACUGAUAUUGGAAAGCUGUACAAUAUUCACAAAACCUGUCAGCUAUACUACAUUGUGUUUCUUAAACAGAGAAACCACAAGAAGGUCAAUAGCAUGGUUUAUAUCUUUUGACCUUGCUUCGCUAUAUUACUUGACUUGAACCAUGUAAAAUGUUUGCAUUUUUGGCCAAGAAUUUCCAGUAUCGGAGUCCCCUCUGGACCCUGGAUAGGUUAUAAACAAGUUUAUAGUGAGCCAAGUUGCUUCAGGUUUCACUGUUAACAUUCAAAGAAACUAGGGAUGUAAAAUUUGUUUUAGUAAUAGGAUCUAGCCUAGUAGUCUAUGUAGUCUUACUCUGACAGACAUCAGUUUGAAGAGCUGUUUGUGUCAGGCUGAGGCCUUGCUGUGACGAUAAUAGCAUAAAAUGAUCCAACAGAUCCAGGGUAAAAGUUUUGACUCCCUCUGAAAUAUACCUAAAUAAAUACUCCUUGCAUGUUUCUUAUCUAUAUGAUAAUGUAGACUUGUGUAAAAAGUUUGGACUCUGACCUUUCCAAAGGAUGAGCCUUGAAGCAAACUCUCCUGCUUUACUCCCAUUAGUCUACAUGUACUGCCUGACAAUACUGCAUUUUGCCAGAAAUAUCUUUGUGGUUAUACACUUAACCCAUGUUAAAGAAGAGGGAAUAAUGUCUGCCAGCAAGCAGACAAAAUAUAAGCCUAUCACUGUCUAUACUGCAAUUUAAGCUCUCCUAGAAACACUCUAGCGAUCUGAACUGCAAAGUAACUGUGAAGUUCCAGUGUGAAGUAGUUCAUAAUGAUGCCAUUUGCAGCAGCAUUUUCUGGUUCUCCAUGGCUUCAGCAUCACCCCAAAUGAGAAGAAAGUCUCUCCACUCCAUUCUGACUUUCUUGACUGUACUGAGAUUGUCCAUUUCCUUCUCUAGGGAUGUGGAAAUAAUACUGCCCUUGUACUGAUGUUUCUGUCCUACUGAAAACUGUAAAGCAAGUAGCCUCUAAGGCAAGGGGAAUACAGAAUUAAGUUUCUGAUCUGCUUUAUGGUACAAUAUGAACAUGAAUUUGCCAUAGGAAAAUAUUCAGCUACCAUUUCCCCCUUGAAUAAGAGCAGAUUUGGGGAAUAUAUGUUAACAGUUCUCAGGAAGCACAUUUUGUUUAUGUGAUGUUUAAAAAGAGAACUGUGCCUUUAAGUGUAACUAAGCGAGUAAUGAAAGUAAAUGCAAUUGUUAAUUUUCCAUUUUCAGAAGAAAAACUUUAUAUAUGUAGUCAAAUACACAAAAGGAAGCAUGGAUAGCUUAAAUGUAGCAAGAAGCAGUGAAAAAUUUUCAGCUUUAUGGUGUUUUCCAGGGGGCAAGGCAGAUAAUGGUUUCCUCUGAUAGAAGUUUCUUGGUCAAAGAAAAGCAUUUAAUAGCAGCAAUACCUGAAGCCCAUACUGUGCAACUUUAAGUAUCACCUGAGAUGGUGAACAGCUGGACAUAUUCACAGGGGCUUUUUUAUAUCCCUGGGACAUAAUGUCUUCUCUGAACAUUUGCAAGAAAUAGAAAUGCUUUUCAUAUACAUGAGUUAAUACGCAUUUUAACUGGAAAAAGCAAGGUACUUAUCAGGAUAACACUGACAGGUGGCAGAGCAACUUGGACAGUACGAGAUAGAUAUUCUCAGCCAGCGGGUACCAAAAGAAAAUGGAAUAAUGCUGACUCGUGUAUGCUGAUCUGACUCCAAUUACAGCCACCUGAUUGUAUGAAAUAGGACAGUGGGACAACUAUUGCCACAAGUGCUUGUUUGCCCCAUUGGAAUUCCUUGAUUUUUCUUACAGUAUCCUUUCAAUCUCAAUAUAGCCAUGCUUUGUGCAGCAGCAUUCAUAAUUGCUUUCAGAUGGAGGAGCUGAGAAUAACACUUCUUUUUCUUGCCUGUGUGCAAAAGAACAAUAAUUGGAUUGUGAAUCAUGUAGCUGCAACUAGCCUGUUCAAAUGAAGACAGUAUUUUUUUCAGUCAUCCUGAGUCAUCUUUUCUUUUUAUACCAUUUUCCCCUUGUCACAUUUUUUUUCACCUUAUCCAUGGCCUAAAUAACCCCAAAAUAGCUCAAAGAUGAUGUAUCAUUCUUACUUUGUUAGCAGAUAAGUUUCAUGUGAAUUCUCUUUCUUACACUCUUUCACUCCCAAACAAAACAGGCACCCUGGUUAAACUUCAAUCUGAUUUUUUUGUAAUCUCAUUUUUUUGGAGAGCUAGAAAGUAUUUCAUGGAUGUGAAUACAUGGAUCCUUCUCAAUUUUCUUUCUUUCAAUCAUGCUACUUCACAAUAGAAAUGUCUUACUAAGACUGCUUACCAGCUUCACUAGCACACUUUAACCACUUUGGACUAUUUUUCUAAGUCAAAAUAGUCAGAAAUCUAAAUCCACUUUGCCAAUUAUUUUAGAUUUAUGGUUCUUUUGUGUUGGCAUGAACUACAGCGACUCAUAGCCACCUCUGCAUACAGGUAAUGUUGAUCCUUUAUAUUUUUUUUGUAGCUCUAAAUUUAUUAGUAAUAUUUCAGUACUGUGCCAGUAUCAGUUGCAACAAAAUAGCUGAAGUCAAAUUUAAAGUUUCCUUUAACUUCCUACUAAAACGUGCAUGUGCACACAUGAACUAUAAAUACACAGACAAGUCUUGAAAGAUGUACAUGAUUGCUAGCUUUAAUCGCCUCUCAGAAAGCUAAAAUUGUUUUUAAAAACCCUCUGUAUUAUCUGAUAAUGCAUGGGUCUUGCUGCGGUUUGUAUUAAGUGUGAGUUUCUCUCUCACAAAAUAAUGUACCAGAUCUCAAGGUUGGCUGUAGGACACACCAUUUUAGCUAAUAUCACACAGGAGAUCAGUUAUUUCCCAUUGUGAUUCCCAAUUGGCAUCUUGCAGUGAGCUUGUUUACUGCUCUGCAGCAAAAUGAAUUGUCUGCUGUUAAGUAUUUAAAAAAAAAAAAAAAAAAAAAACCUGCAUAAAAAUACUGUUAAGUCUCUGACUUAAGCUGACAAAUUCUAGGGAAGACUAAAUUAAAGAUAAAGUAUCAGUACAGCACUUGUUAUGUACAGCAGUAUUGCCCUGGAAUGGAAAAGGGAGUCAGGGCAGGUAAUAGCUUUUGUCUAGCUAUUACCAUGACAGGCUUUUACUUGGAUUCGGAAUAGCAAGAGCUCUCUAAAAGUCCUUCUUUCCUUAUUUAUUGUUUUCCUUUUCAGACAUGAACAAAACAGUGCAAAUGGGUCAGUACUUUUAAGCUAGCUUAUGGCACAAUAAUGAUUUGAAAUGGUUGAGCUGGAAGAAGAAUAGUAUUUGUAAUGGAGAUGUUGACUGAGCAAACCAACAGUGCAAUUAUAAUAUUGACUCUGUGAUAGAAUCAGCACUUCAGGAGAACAGCAAGCCUCCUUGACUUGAGGGUCUCUGGAUUAACUGGUUUUAAAAGGCAUUGGUCGAAAUAUGAAUGCUACACAAGUAACAUUAAGAAAAAGUAGUGUAAUAAUACUUCUGCUUUCUCUGUGCCAACAAAAUCCUGAAAGACACCCAGUGAGAGAAAUAUAAUUUAGACAUUACUCUGAAAAAAAAAAAAAAAAAAAACAAGGCAAGUAAAACCAAACAGAGAAUAUGUUCUGCACUGUGAAGAAUCAGAAAAGGAACAUAUUCUUGCUUCUGAGAAAAGGUAGAAGCAUAAGAAUAAAUGUAUAGAUGGCAGAUGAAAAGUGCUCUUCAAGAAGUGUGGACUUGGAAGAGAUGCCAAAGGAAUGCUGAUAAAGCUGUGAAACUAAAUAGGAAAAAAGUGAUUAGGAGAGUGCACUGGCUCUUUCUGGGAUGGAGGUCUGUCAACAAAACACUGCUGAUAACACAAAGAAGUCAAAGUCUUCUCUGUUUCUCACUCUGCCCUACUAGCUAGUAAGCUGGGAUAGUGCAAGAAGUUGGGCGAGGAUGUGACUAAGCAGAUGUCCCAAAGUAACCACAGAGAUAUAGCAUAACGUCAUGCAAUGAAAAGGGAGAGGAGGGGGUUUGUGGAGGAUAUUCUUUUCCUUGGAAACUAGCUGGGCAUCCAUCCACCUGCUGGGGUUGGUGAGAUACUGCUUUUGCAUAGCUUUUUUUUUUUUUUUUUUUUUUAAGAUUUUUCUUCUCUCUUCUUGCAUUUCUCCUUCACAUAUUAGACAUUAUUUUUUCAAUCUUGAACAACAAGUUUUCUUACUUAUACUCUUCUUUUUUUUUUUUUUUUUUUCUUUUCCCAUUGCUCUGAGUGCAGAGAGUGAGUGAGUGGCUGUGUAGUGCUUAGCCGCUUACUGGAGUUAUUCCACAACAAGGAGAGAACAAAGAGUAGUCUUUGUUGGAUAAACAACAUAUCUAGGACAAUAAUAAUAAUAACAGAUAGUUACAUCUGGCAAUAUUAUGCAUUUUGAUAAUCUCUUGCAGAGGCAACAAAAAUCACAGAAUAAAUCUAAUUGCAUUCAUAUUUUUCAUAACUUUCAGAUCCAUGGAAAGACUAAUAUAACAAAACUGUCCCUAUCCCACCACGCAUCUCCCCUCCCAGUGCUGCUUCCAGGACUACAGAAUCUUGUGUGGGUCAGAAGACAAAAUCCUGAGCAGCCUACAUAAGGGAAAGAAUAGUUGUCGUCUCAUUCAUUUGAUAAAAAUGGAUCAUCUUAUUCAAAGCUAAAGCAUAUUGGUGGAAAAGAAAAACGAUUUGCAGAAGUGGUAUUUCUACCAGUUACUAUUCUAGGCUCAGAUGCAAAUCACCAGGCACAGAACACUUAAAUCAGGAAAGUCACUUACAUUGUGUAUGGACAGUAGAAAAAAUAGCACCUUCAGACCACUAGUGUUCUAAUUUACUCGUGGAAAUGUCUUUCUCUGUUGGCAGCUACAUUCCGAAAAUAGACAUAAUCAGCAAUAUAAGGUGAAGGGAUUGGAAUAUGUGUUCUAAAUUUAGCUAAUUGUCCUUGCUCUGUGUCACCGUGUUUAUUUAGUGCUUCAAUAAUUGUAAGAGUUUCUCUAUGCGGGGACUCUUCCCAAUAAAAAUCUAUCCUUGUGAAGCUGCACAACUUCUUCACAGGCUCUGUAUGGAACAGUUGCUAUUUUUCAGUAAGAAUGUGGGUUGCAGCUGUAGAGAACAAAGUUUGGCUUCUAUUUUCAAAGCCUUAGGCUCUUGUCUGCAAAGACAACCUCUUGCUGCUUGAGUUGUGCAGUGUUUAAAUAAAAGUAAUCUCAGUGUUAAAUUCAAGCUCUCCAUGCCAUAGCAAUGAAAAUAACACACUGUGCCUGGGAAUUGCUUGUAGGGCUGGAGCCAUGCUGCUGCAAGCAGGUGUGUGCAUACAAAUAGUAAGCAAGGGGAUAGGAGCCCUCAGAGAACACUGGACUUUUUGUGUUUCCUGGAGAUUAAGUGGCUCAGCAGUUCAGUCAUUGUUGCAGCAAUGGGUGACUAGAUGAAUUCAUCUGCUUCCAUGAAUAGAUCCUGGGAGACCACUAAGAGAAUUUUUCUUCAUAUUUUCUGGCUAAUUCUGCGUAAGAUGCUUUCACACAAAAAAACACUACUGUCACUGAACUAAUUUCACCCAGUGUUGCAUUUCCUUAUCAAUAGAUAUUACACGUUGCUCUUAUUCAAAUGAAUAAACCAACAAAAAUUUAAAGUACUCAAAGAGCACAGGAAAAGGGGGAAAACGGGGGAAAAAAGAAUAUAUAUCUCUGUCAAUACCCUGUGGUUACACAUAUGCCUUAGUGCCUCUCAUACAUUCCCUGCCCUUGGGCCUGGGCACCCCAUUUCAGCUCUGCCUGCAGUUGCUGCUGAGCUGUGUUUCAGACAUAUCUUUGCCUUGUCCUCAUUUUGCACAUUGUUUGAAUUUUAUGUGUUGGUGCAACCUUGCACCUGACUCACCAUCUCACAUUUGUCUCACCUUCACUGGACUGUUUAUAGGAUCUGCAGCUGUCACCUCCCUGAUCUGCUCACCAUCUUCAGGUCAUAUGAGAUGGUGAGGACAUGGCCUGAAGACACUCAGAAAAAAAAUAUCUUAAUUUGGGAUAUUUUGGUCUUAUUAUUUUGAUGGGAGAAAUUAUGUGGUAAUAUGUUGUAUUAUGCUGUUGAUAUUAUCUUUGACUUGUACUACCGUAAUUUCACAGUUUCUACUCAUUUUCAAUGUUCACUGUUUCAUUCUUGUGUGGAAAUAUUCCACUCUGUAUUUCUUUCAAGAUGAUUCUAGCUGGUUUAUAGUCUCAUUUAACAUGCAAGAGAACACUCUUCUAAUCACUGAUUCUACAUCCCAAAAUAAAACCAAGAAUCCUUA